rnacentral:lncRNA from 1 species
UCACACAGAAAGAAAAAAAUCAAAUACGCAAGAAAAGUUAGAAUCUGUAGGAGAGAGAGCAAACAUGCCUGAGCAAGUAAGAGGUAUGAUGAUCUUCACUUCACCUCCUCCUUUGUUCCCCAUAGCCUAAAGAGGAAAGCCUCAGCCUCCUAUUAACCGGCCCAUCACAUAAAGAUUCCGAGCCCAGCUUGAUUUCUUAUUAACCGGCCCAUCAUCCGAAGCUUCCGAGCCCAAGCCCAGCUUGAUUUCCUUAGGUAUAAAAUUUCUUUAAUUAGUCUUUUUUUUUCCCUCCUGAUUUUUUUUUUUCAAAUGUUUUUGUUUUAGUCAAAUCCAAAAAUUAUCACUCUCUUUUAAAUGUUUUUGUUUUGGGGAGAUUGUAUAUUUACUUGAUGGACAAUGGAAGAAGCUUAUGUGUAUAUUCAUAGUGUGAAAACAGUUAGAAACUAGCGUCCUGUCCUUUGAUCGUUAGAGAGGUUAAGGUUCCAUUUGACUUUACACUUAUGAGAUCACUUUGUUAUUCCUAAUCAAAUCUUGGCACAAUAUACAGUUUCCCCUCGUGUUUUUUUUGGUUAAAAACAGUAUCAUCUUUUGUAUUUGCAUGUUUAAAAAAAAAAAAAAAUCUUCAACGUAAAUGCUUGCUUGUUUGCAAUCAUGGUGUGCAUGUUUGAUUGUUUGUUUCUUUGCUGGCGAGAUUGGAGAUGGUCAGGAGGAUUUUGAGAAGUGAAAGGUGAUUGAAGUAGGAUGUCAAUGAAGAUGGUUCGUAACUCCAUUGAUGUCACUUAAAAGGUAUACACUAAGCUCAUCAAUACAUUAACACUAAAUUACUCCAUUGAAGAAGAACUAAAUUACACUAGGAGGUUGGUGUGGAAUCUAGGUCGUAUUGAACUUAUCUUGUAAAUGUGUAUAGUGUCACUCUCGUAUAGUGAAGUGGUUCGCAGUUAAGUAAACAUUGAAUUAGGGAUUAAACCAAACCAAGCAUUGAUUACAUUACAUGAUUAGCUACUCUAACUGUAAAGUAGUGAAACUUGUAGUUCUCAUUAGUAGAUACCUUGGGUGUUCAACUUGUUGCCGUAUGGAAUCUUAUGGAUGCUUUGAACUAAUGUUUUAUUACAUAACUAGUAUUAGUAUACUCGUCUAAGAAUUUUUCAAUUAGUUUCCCUAGCACUUUUGCGUAGAAGUUGGAUCCAUAACCAUAACUAGAUGAUGCUCAUAUUGGAAAUUAAAUUAGCCAUAGCUAGAUAUUUCAUAUCCUCGACAGUAUAACUUCGAUAGUAUAAUUUGGUAGUUCUAGUUUCCUCAAAUGUUGUGCAUUCAGUUUGAUCUCUUGCAUUUAAUAUUGUUGGUUUUGUUUCAGGAAGUGAAAGAACAUACAUUAGAGGCAAGGAGUCAGCAAAUGGAGGCCAGAACUUGAAGAAGAGUAUGAAGAUCGUGAAGAAGUCUUACUCUCUAAUAAUCUCCAACGUCAAGUUCUUAUCUGAUUCAUUACAUUUAGGAUUGUACUCCUUGAUGACAACUUCUGUAUCAAUUUAACUCUAAAUCAAGUUGACCUUUCUACUUUGUAAAAUCAAAUUAUUUGUCGUCUUUUUUUUUUUGUAAGUAUAUAUCUCUAAAUGUUGUGUGUAUUUUUAAAUCAAGUACUUUGUAAUUUUACAGUUUAAAUUAGUUGAAAUUUUACAAUUUUAUUACUCAAAAUAAACAGAUACACAAAAUCUCAAUUGUUCAGAAAAGAAUAAAAAGAAAC